rnacentral:rRNA from 1 species
GGUUGAUCCUGCCAGUAGUCAUAUGCUUGUCUCAAAGAUUAAGCCAUGCAUGUCUAAGUAUAAAAGUAUUCUAUACUUGAAACUGCGAAUAGCUCAUUAAAUCAGUUAUAGUUUAUUUGAUGGUGCCUUACUACAUGGAUACCCGUAGUAAUUCUAGAGCUAAUACAUGCCAAAAAAACCCAACCGCAAGGGCGGGUUGUAUUUAUUAGAUAAAAAACCAUUACUCGCAAGAGUUUUUGUGGUGAUUCAUAAUAACUGUUCGAAUCGCAUGCCUCACGGCGGCGAUAGAUCAU